UAGGGAAUCUUCCGCAAUGGACGCAAGUCUGACGGAGCAACGCCGCGUGAGUGAAGAAGGAUUUCGGUUCGUAAAACUCUGUUGUUAGAGAAGAACAGCGCAUAGAGUAACUGUUAUGCGUGUGACGGUAUCUAACCAGAAAGCCACGGCUAACUACGUGCCAGCAGCCGCGGUAAUACGUAGGUCCCGAGCGUUGUCCGGAUUUAUUGGGCGUAAAGCGAGCGCAGGCGGUUAGAAAAGUCUGAAGUGAAAGGCAGUGGCUCAACCAUUGUAGGCUUUGGAAACUGUUUAACUUGAGUGCAGAAGGGGAGAGUGGAAUUCCAUGUGUAGCGGUGAAAUGCGUAGAUAUAUGGAGGAACACCAGUGGCGAAGGCGACUCUCUGGUCUGUAACUGACGCUGAGGUUCGAAAGCGUGGGUAGCAAACAGG
rnacentral:rRNA from 1 species